UGCAUGUCUUAGUUUAAGACAGGUGCCUUCCGAAACUGCACAUGGCUCAUUAAAUCGGUGGUAGUCCCUCACAAACUUUGGUCCCCACGAUAUGGAUAUCUGUGGGAAUUCUAGAGCUAAUACAUGAUUUGACGACGCCUUGUUUGGGGUUGACGUUCGUCCGAUGAUUCUUGACGAACUGUAAAUUGCAAGUGGCAAUGGUUUGUAGGGGUUUCCGACUCAUCAGCCAUGUUGAUAUUAUAUGGGUAUAUCAAGGCGUCGACGGGUAACGGAGGAUUGGGGUUUGAUCCCGGAGAGGGAGCCUGAGAGAUGGCUACCACUUCUAAGGAAGGCAGCAGGCGCGCAAAUUACCCAUUGCCAACUCGGUGAGGUAGUGACGAUCAAUAACGACACGGACUCUCUAAGAGGGUCCGUGAUCGGAAUGAGCUCGCAUUAGAUGCUCGAGCAAGUAACGAUCGGAGGAAAAGUCUGGUGCCAGCACCCGCGGUAAUUCCAGCUCCGAUAGCAUAUAUUAAAGUUGUUGCAGUUAAAAAGCUCGUAGUCCGAUUUGAAGGCUGGGUUGUUCCGUCGGCUGCCGCGAGUGGCUAGGUCUAAGGCCGUAGCAAGACGGCGGUUGUUGCUUGGUUUCGGCUGGGUUGCAACUGUCCGCGGGGUUUCGGCUCCGACUUGCGCGGUCUGCACUUGGAGCAAAUUAGGGUGUUCAAAGCAGGUAGCUCGACAGGCCGUGAAUAGGUCAGCGUGGGAUGUAGCUUGGCAUCCAUUAACUCUAGUCCUGAGUCCUUCGUGGGAACGAUUGAUGAGGGUGGUCGGUGGCAUCAGUAUUUGCCCGUCAGAGGUGAAAUUCUUGGACCGGGCAAAGACUACCAUCAGCGAAAGCAUUUGCCAAGUACACCCUUUUCGAUCAAGAACGAAAGGCGGGGGAUCGAAAAUGAUCAGAUACCGUCGUAGUCCCGACCGCAAACAAUGCCAACCAGGGAUCGGGAGGCGUCGCACAGACGGCCUUCCCGGCACCCCCGGGGAAACCUCGAGUCUUUGGGUUCCGGGGGGAGUAUGGUCGCAAGGCUGAAACUUAAAGGAAUUGACGGAAGGGCACCACCAGGCGUGGGGUUUGCGGCUUAAUUCGACUCAACACGGGAAACCUUACCAGGUCCGGACUCCGUAAGGAUUGACAGACUAAGGGACCUUUCUUGAUCCUGAGGGUGGUGGUGCAUGGCCGUUCUUGGUUGGUGGAGCGAUCCGUCAGGUCAAUUCCGUUAACGAACGAGACCUCAACCCCCCAAAUAGUGACGCUGUCCUGCCAAGGAGUUCGUUUUCCUGCGGCAAUUGUUCGCUGGGGGUGGUUGUCGUGACGGAGGCGGCUUCGGUGGGACACACGUCUUCUUAGAGGGACGGCCGCGCUCAGCGAGAGGAAGCUUGAGGCAAUAACAGGUCUGUGAUGCCCUUUAGAUGUUCUGGACCGCACGCGCACCACACUGAUGCGUUGAACAAGGCGUCCCUUGGCCUGAAAGGUCUGGGGAAUCUCGAGUGACUAUCGUGAUGGGGAUAGAUUAUUGCAAUUAUUGUUCUUAAACGAGGAAUGCCUAGUAGGCACGGGUCAUCAACUCGUGCCGAUUACGUCCCUGCCCUUUGUACACACCGCCCGUCGCUCCUACCGAUCGAACGGCCAGGCGAAGUCUUCGGAGUGGGUAGAUCGUUCCGGUCUGUCGCAAAGUUGGUUGAACCUCGUC
rnacentral:rRNA from 1 species